rnacentral:tRNA from 1 species
UAGCUCAGUUGGUAGAGUGCUUGCCUGGCAUGCACAAGGCCCUGGGUUCAAUCCCCAG